rnacentral:rRNA from 1 species
GACGUAGGGCGCGAGCGUUGUCCGGAAUUAUUGGGCGUAAAGAGCUCGUAGGCGGCUUGUUGCGUCGUUCGUGAAAUCCCGUGGCUCAACUGCGGGCUUGCGGACGAUACGGGCAGGCUAGAGUUCGGUAGGGGAGACUGGAAUUCCUGGUGUAGCGGUGAAAUGCGCAGAUAUCAGGAGGAACACCGGUGGCGAAGGCGGGUCUCUGGGCCGAUACUGACGCUGAGGAGCGAAAGCGUGGGGAGCGAACAGG